AUUGAACGCUGGCGGCAUGCUUUACACAUGCAAGUCGAACGGCAGCACGGGGGCAACCCUGGUGGCGAGUGGCGAACGGGUGAGUAAUGCAUCGGAACGUAUCCUUAAGUGGGGGAUAACGCAUCGAAAGAUGCGCUAAUACCGCAUAAUCUCUGAGGAGAAAAGCAGGGGAUCGCAAGACCUUGCGCUUUUGGAGCGGCCGAUGUCUGAUUAGCUAGUUGGUGAGGUAAAGGCUUACCAAGGCUUCGAUCAGUAGCUGGUCUGAGAGGACGACCAGCCACACUGGGACUGAGACACGGCCCAGACUCCUACGGGUGGCUG
rnacentral:rRNA from 1 species